UACAAUAAAAUUUGGUUUCAGCCUCUGAAUUUUAUAAGGUACCAGUUUUACUCAGUAGAACUUGUUACAGGCAGGUUGUUAUUUCUUUUUAGCGGAUGUGUAAGUAUUUCUCUCGCCCAAGAAAAGGUCGCAUUGCAAUUCUACACUGCUUACGUAGUGGUAGCUGGGCGCGACACUGCCCUUCCUGGCUAGCGAUAGUGAUGUACAAAUUUGUUGCAAGCUUUUUAUAGAGCCUUUUCCGUCCUUGUAGCUGAUUAACCUUGUUUGAGAGCUCGAACUUUGAAUGUCUAUCGAGUCGAUAGAGCAAAUAUUGAUGAUACCCUGUCCUCAGCUUAUACCGCCUAAUGAGCCUGUUCUCGGUUGUGAGAGAUAUUAUUGAUGGCUGUUAUACCGUACGGAUUAAAGGCAUUUGUAGAGUAAAGCUUUGCCUUGUUGAUAUUAGGCAGUAACUUUCCGAGAUAGUUGUCCUUUUUAGAUUUCGAGAAGACCUUCGACCGCUUUAGAAGGUAGGUCUCCAACACGAACUGCGAAUGCUGAACCUCUUAUGGUCAACCACAAUGUCUGUAAGCCGUUUCUAUGCGGGUGUCUUCUGCAUACGUAUCGACAAAGCGAAUGCCAAAUUGUAUUAUACCGCGCUAAACAUUACGAACGCAUCCUUCUACUUAGACUAACACCUCCUGGGGUUGCAUUAAUUCUUUUUAACAAAAAACGACUGUGAACUUACGCACGCAUCGCAUGCCGACAAUGCAGCUACGCGACGUCAAAAGGGCUAAAGUUAAUAUGUCAGCACCGGUGUGGGAAUAUUAAGAAUUGAAGAGCAAGGUGUUUUUUACCCCAGAAAAGCGUACUGCGCUGUCUACGCUGCAUUCGAAAACGAAAAGACUCUAUGGAAAUUAUCAAUGCAAUUUUAGGGAAUUCUGUACGAUAAACUGUGU